rnacentral:SRP_RNA from 1 species
GGAGAGGUUGGCGCGGGCAGGCGCCUCGCCAACCGGGUCAGGUCCGGAAGGAAGCAGCCCCAACGAGUCCCGCUUGGGUCGUCGUCCAGCCUCUCACCAU